rnacentral:misc_RNA from 1 species
GAAAUGCGAUACGUAGUGUGAAUUGCAGAAAUACGUGAACCAUCGAAUCUUUGAACGCAAAUUGCGCUCGCGGCUUCGGCCAAGAGCAUGCCUGCCUCAGCGUCGGGUUAAUCCUCGCUCUCCAUUCCCCUGUGGAAUGAUCUGAGCGGACCUGACCUUCCCAGCGCCAUUCAGUUGGAGCUGGGUUGGUUGAAGUGCAGAGGUUGUCGCAAGGACCCGUUAUGGGCCUCAACUGGGUAGGCAAUUCGUUGCUACAUGCUUUAGUUGAUGGCUUGGGACUUUGCAAUGGCGGCCCAAACCAGGAACCGAGCUUGCUCGGCACUUAACCCAUUUUCUCGACCUGAGCUCAGACAAGAUUACCCGCUGAACUUAA